rnacentral:tRNA from 1 species
UCCCUAGUGGCUCAGAUGGUAAAGCGUCUGUUUGCAAUGCAGAAGACCCGGGUUCGAUCCUUGGGCUGGGAA